AGCACUCUUUAUACAUUCACUCCUGGAAGAGUUGUUAUUUAUUUAUUUCAUACAUUUGUAUCCUGUCCUACUCAUCCCCUGGGAGAGGGGGGAACUCAGGGUAGCUUGACAACCAGUAGUCAUUAGAUGCCAAAACCAAACAGUUAUAAAAAUAAUACAAUUAAAAACAGAUAAUUAAAACAUCAAUUAUAAAAAACAUCAUUUAAAAAUUGCAGAAGUUAUCAUUGGGAAAAAGGUGACUCCAUAGAAACUUGAUCACAAAUCUUUGUUUCCACAAGCCAAAUUUUUCAAAAUCCAAUUAUCACUUAUCAAUUAUCAGGGACAGGAAGUGAGGUCAAUUCUUCUGAAUAAGGGUACAGAUAGUACCCUUACCUUUUAGUAUAGAGUAAACGGCAAGGUUUUUUAAAAAAUUGGUUUAAAGUCCAAAGAAACACAGAGAAAUGAAUUGUCACAAUAUUGUGUGUUGAGAUCAGAGUACAAUUAUUUUUUAAUCUGUGUAGACAAGCCCAAUGUUACUGCAGAGGAAUUUGUUCUUGAUGUAAGCAAUUCUCAAGUUGCUAUAUGCGACUCCAAAAGCAACCCAGAGUCCUACAGGGUCCUUAUUCUUGAUUCAUAUGCAUUUCUAUGCAGCAGCAUCUAGGACUGGUUGACAGGACUAAUGAUAAUGACUGGCUGUUGAUUAAGGUGAGAUUUGUAAAUGAACUAAAGGCAAUUUAUAAAUCUUCCUUCCUUCUUUACUCACCCACCCAAUAUAAAUUACACUCAUAGAGUUAUUCUAAUUCAUAUUUCUUCUGCCUCAUUAAGAGAUGGGAGAGUUAUAGGCAUAUAGUUAAAUACAAUGUUUUUAAAAAAGCAGAUACCUCGAAUGGUGCUUUAAAAACCCAUCUAAGUUAUGCCUCCAACAGUUUCAUGCACUGAGACAUAUAAAUAAAUUUCAGCCUGGCGAGUCUCCAUCCCCCAGCACCAGUGUAGUGCGUCUAAUCAGUCAUCUAUAAUACAGACAAGCAAUCAUUUAAAAUGUGGAAGUGUGCCUUACGGGCACACAGUUUGCAUUAUGUACAGAUAAAUAUUAAGAUGAACAUUCUUUAUUUCCUGUUCAGUGCAGUGAGAUUUUCUGAAAUGGCCUCAGUCAUAAUAGAGAAAAUCAUACAAGUAAUGUUCAAUUCCAGCUAGGCCUCCAGGUUGACUUGAUGUCAGAGGAAAAAGAAUAAACAGGAAACGGAGGAUCUCUUCACAAGGAAAAUAACAAUGUUGAACUCAGUGUCUGCUGUAAACUUAACAGAAGAAGGCCGAAGGUCAUACUGGAUAUUAGAGACUGUGAGCUUGUCUACAAUGACAAUUUAGGUUGGUAUGGAACCAGUUUGGCUUUAAUUUGUGCUGCAGCACAUUUUGGCAGUACAGUAUAUGCGUUUUGUGGCCACAACAGUUUGAAGAUAGAUUUAAACUGGAUCAUUUGGUCAGUGGAUGUGUCCAUAGUCUUUCUUAGGAGUGAUGCUUGCAAACUAAACUAGUGGUUGCCUUCCAAUGGCCAAUCAUAAAGCAAAGCAUGCAAAAUGCAACUUGCGUAAGAGAAGCAAAUCUUGUACACUGUCAAAUAACACAAGCAAUGAUACCUUCAUUGGCCAGCUCCAAAGCACAAAAUAUGUCAGCUUUCGAAACAUCACUGGCUUCUUCUUCAGGCAAAUAUGUUAAAGAUCAGAAUGGAGAAAAAUGGUAAUGACAUUAGAAUCGCAGGCCUUCAUUCUGUCUGACAUGAUGCCAGUUGAGAUUCUAGUGUGGGAUUUCAAUGUGGGCUGGGGCCACUUUCCUUAUUGUCCUUGUGAGGACUAGGGACAAAGAGCAAUAAAUGAAAGGUAAUACAAUUUUAACUCCAAUAGCAACAGAAAAGUGAUUUCUCUUGAGACCCAACAGUUCCAGUCCUGUGUGAAACUAACUGCUCCUUUCUUAGGCAGAGAAAUCUUUUGUCAUCUUUGUCAUCUCCGCAAAACUGUGCUAAAGCUAUCAUGUUCUUUGAGAUGAGAAGCAAGUUAAAGCGAAGCGGAAGAAUGGUGAGGGAAAGAAACCGACCCAAGAAGGGAUUAAGGACAUUAUUGCACAAACAAUACAACCUAUGAUACCCUUCCUUACCACAUGGCUGCAUGAUGGUGUAACAAAAGCACCCAGACCUUAUCGCAUUUCAUGGCCUGGAUGUGAGGACCAAGUCAUAUGCUAAAGUUUCUUGCUCAUAGAUUCACCAUUGUAAAAGAAGGGCUACACUUUGUAAAUUCAAGGGACUUGUAAUCCCCCCCCCCACCCCAAUGCUUUUAAGAAAAUAGGAAGCAUCCACAAAGAUGCUAGAAUUUGAUGAAUAUUUUCAGCCACAAUGAUAAAUUACUGACCUAAAAAUACCUGAAACAGUAUUCUGGACCAUGGGGUUUUAUGUAUGCACUACAAAAUUGUGACUUUAUUAAAUUAUGAUUUAAAAUGUA